AAACCCCAUGGAAUGCUCAGGUCCGCCGCAUCUCCUGGGUCCGUGGGGCGGUCGGUCGGCAGCGUGCAGAAUCGGUUUCCUCGUACCGUGGCGCGACUGCCGGCCGGCCAACCG
rnacentral:sRNA from 1 species